CCUACGGGAGGCAGCAGUGAGGAAUAUUGGUCAAUGGCCGGAAGGCUGAACCAGCCAUGCCGCGUGAAGGUUAGUGCCCUAUGGGCGUUAAACUUCUUUUGUGCGGGAGCAAUAAUGGUCACGUGUGGCCAGACGAGAGUACCGUACGAAUAAGCAUCGGCUAACUUCGUGCCAGCAGUCGCGGUAAUACGGGGGAUGCAAGCGUUUCUCGGGUUUAUUGGGUUUAAAGGGGACGUAGGCUGUGGGGUAAGUCAGUGGUGAAAUGCCCCCGCUCAACGGGGUGAAGUGCCAUUGAUACUGCCUUGCUGGAGGACGGAUGCGGUGAGAGGAAUGUGUGGUGUAGCGGUGAAAUGCAUAGAUAUCACGCAGAACACCGAUUGCGAAGGCAUCUCACGAAUCCGCAAUUGACGCUGAUGCACGAAAGCGUGGGUAUCAAACAGGAUUAGAUACCCCUGUAGUC
rnacentral:rRNA from 1 species